rnacentral:lncRNA from 1 species
AGAAAUGGGAUUUGCUUGCAAGAUGAAUGAGGGAGGAGGUCCCAUGGCUUCUAAGAGAUCAACCCAAGUCUUCCAAUACUCACUGCUAAGUCCCACCUGGGUCCCCCUCUUGCCCUCACGGCCCUGGAGCGCUUGAAGGUGCUGGUCCCUGGGAAGGAGGAGCGAGGAGGACCCCCUCCGGAGCUGGGGAGGGAGGUGCA